rnacentral:rRNA from 1 species
GACGAACCGUGCGAACGUUAUUCGGAAUCACUGGGCUUAAAGUGCGUGUAGGCGGGUCGGCGCGUCGGUCGCUGAAAGCCCCCGGCUCAACCGGGGAAGGGGCGCCGAAACGGCCGGCCUGGAGGGGGGUAGGGGGAGCCGGAACUUCCGGUGGAGCGGUGAAAUGCGUUGAGAUCGGAAGGAACGCCCGUGGCGAAAGCGGGCUCCUGGGCCCCACCUGACGCUGAGACGCGAAAGCUAGGGGAGCGAACGGG